CCCGGCUCCGCCCCGGCACCGCCUCAGCACCGCCCCGGCACCGCCACUCCCGGGUCCCGACACCGCCCCGGCACCGUCCCGACCCUGCCACUCCCGGGCCCCGACACCGCCCUAUGGCCUGAGGGUGAGCAGCCGUGCCGUGGCGCGGAAUGUCGGACGGGGGCGUGGAACCGUAGUCGAAAACCUCACAAAUGAAGGUAUGAAAAGGUUUUUCACAGGCACUCUGCAUUGCCAGUGGAGGAAUGCCAGCUGCUUCGAAGACGUGCUUUCUAUUAAAGCGGGGAAGUUUCCUGACGUUUUUUUUUUCGCCCGCCACUGUGAUGAGCGUCCGAGCAAGAGAAUUUGAAUCCAGUCGUAGUGAAAUGCAGCCUGGUCCUCCUUAGGUAUUAACUGUGCCAAGAGCCUCAUCACUUUAAACUUCUCAGUAAAGAUUUUUUUUUUUUAAUAAAAUAAAAGGAGGAGAUAGGAGGAGAGAAGAAAGACGCUAAAAAGACAAUGGGACCUUCCUGCUAUUAUUAUCUACGUUUACUUUUCAAGUCUUUCUCUAUUCAUCCAAGAACCACCAAAGACUGUUUCCUCAUAAUGCUAUCAUAGUCUCGCUAACUUGUAUCUCACCUUGUGCAUUUGCCUGCCGAGGUGUCAGAUGAAGGAUGUGCCCUAUGCUAGAAAACUGGCAGUGGGCACACCUCCCACAGGUACCUCCCACCUCCAGGCAGAGGAACACCUCUGCUUAGUGACAGAACUGUGGGAGGAGGUGAGUACAUUCAGCAGCAUCAGAGAGUCUGAGAAUCUGAGACUACUUGAAAAACCCCCUGCCUUCCCAGAGAGAAAUCUGUCAGGCAGAAGGGUGCAUGAUACAGAGGAUUCCCUAUCCUAUCUUUAAUCUGCAGACAUCAUGACUUAAGAGAGAGGGGGAAAUGGUGACAAUUUCCUGCCUUGCACAGUGGAGCAUCCCCUCCAUUACUACCCCACCCUCCCAGUGCCCUGGUAUAUAACAGGUACAAGGCUCUGCAAGUGCAGCUGAACAGCAACGAGAAAGAUUGUUCAUCUAGGUCAGAGAUGUCACUGAGGUUAAGUCAGUUUAAGGCACUCCCUGUGUCAAGACUGCUUCCAUACAGAAAAAUCAAAAAAAAAAAGAUGUGUCAUUGUCAUAGGAGACUUUCUUCUGAGGAACAAAAAAAUCAAUAUGCAGACUGGAUCCAGUCCUUGAAGAAAGUCUGCUGCCCCUCAAAGCCUGUGUUAAAGACAUUAGGAAGAAAUUUUCUACUCUGGUACAGCCCUCAGAUUAUCAACUAUUAAUACUUUUUCAAGCAGGCAGUGAUGAAAUUGCAAUAAGAAGUCUAAGGGCAAUCAAAAAGGGAAUUCAGCAUCUUGAGACUAACUGGUUAAGGGAUAAAGAGCACAUGUAAAAUUCUCCUCUAUUGUUCCAGUUGCAGGGAAUGAUGAAGGAAGAAACAGGAAGCAGAUCAAGAGAAAAACAGAUCAGUAUCUGAAUCUGAGACUGAUCAGACUGGUCCCUGACAGAAUUUUGUGGGUUUUGAUCAUCAUAGUGCUCCCAGGCUUAUUUCUAGUGAGCCUGGUUUUAUCCCCUUUCCUUUUCAAAUCUAGUUUAAAACUCCUUUAAUGAGGCCUGUUAACUCCUGAGUGAAGAUCCUUUUCUCGCUUUAAGACAGGUGCACCCCAUUUGUCAGCAGCAGGCCCGAUGAUCAAAAAUAUUCAAGGGUAGUAUGCAAGUGGACCCUAGCAGAUUUCAGUUGGCCCUGUACUAAUUUUUGCAGCACAGAUGGGUUUUGAUGUGUUAGAAACCAUGGAAGCACCUGAGAACAGUCACAUAGGAAGUCACACUGUCCCCUAAAAAGGUGGCAGGAUUGAUAGCUCAACUAAAAUGGAUCUGCGCCAACGGAAAAUAUUGUGAAGCCCAAAAACUACAGUGUAAGCAAUCACGGAGAAACAGUGGGAUAACUUGCGCUUCUGGAAUGCUACAACAUGUGGCUAUAAACUAUUCAGAAUCAGCAGAGAAAGACAGCUCUCUUUAGGAAGUGGAGGGGUGAGGGAGUGUUUUGACUAUCAUCUAGAGCUUAGUGAUGAAAGAGUAAAGCGUGCUUUAUUGAAAUUUAUUUUGCUCUUUUCUAAAUGCAUUUAUUGACUCCAAACUAAGGAAAAUUCUGAACUAAGGAAAACUCCAAACAGUAGGGACAACCUAAUGACUCUCACACUUCAAUAAUUGUACCAGACUUGGAAAUGCAUCUAAAUGAAACAAUAUAAAGACAAUGCUGGUAUGAAAAAGAUUUUGUAUAUUAUUUCUAUACAUCACACUUCUUUCUAAUUUGUGAGACUGUUUUAAUCUAUCUGAAAUUAUAUAGACUUUAAAAACCCCAAGAUACAACUGUAAAAACACCUAAUCCACUGAGAACAUCAUAAAAUGGCCUGUUUCAACUACAGUCAGUUCCUUUUACAUUAUAUUAAUGUGUUUGUCCAUUUUCUUAUUUUGCUCUUUUAAUUCACCUUCAACAAAUUAAUGUUAUUAGGCUUCUCUUUUAGUAACAGAAUUAGAACUAUAGCACUUAAAGUAUUAAUUUGUCAAUCUGUACUCAAAUUUCUGUGAUGAAGCUAGAGACUGUCCAGUAUCUUUUGCUUUAUUACUAUCUUCACCUAUCCUGCAUAUCUAAGGAAACAACAUAAUUAAAUUUAGGUGAAUACAUAUUAUAAGUUAGCUCAUAAAAUCAAGUCAAGUAGUGAAUGCUAGGUGCAAUACCUAAGUUAGCAUUGGUUACAUAUUUUUUUCAUAUAGACAAUGGUUAAACUAAUUAUUGAUUUAAUAAUUUAUGAGUGCAAUUAUUAAAUUCUCUAAUCAACACUUUUUAUCUCCUUGUUUAGAGCCUAUUAAGUUUUAACAGUUCUUAAUUAGUGAAUUUUUUUUUUUUGGCAUGAUUAUUUUUUUCAAUCACAGGUUCACUUCCUAUGGACAUGACAUGUCAAAUUUUUCUCCAUGUCUUUUCUUACACCUCAUUUUACAAAGUUAUUCAUUCUGCCUUCUUUACUUCAUUCUCUUAAAUAAAAAGUUUUAAAACAUA